GUGAGUGGAUAAAUGGACAAACUCAUUCAGGGUUUAGCUUUUCUUGUUCUGGAUCUCACUACUCACUAGUAAUGUGGGGUUUGGUAACCGUCUCGGGCACGAGAAUAGGAGAUGUAAUAGAACUGAGAGACAAUAGCAGUGAAGAGAGCAAAGGAAGCACCAGCAGCAAACACUCCUUUACGGAUCACUUCACAGCUAG